UACGGAGGGUGCAAGCGUUAUCCGGAUUCACUGGGUUUAAAGGGCGCGUAGGCGGCCGAUCAAGUCGGGGGUGAAAGCCUGUGGCUUAACCACAGAAUGGCCUUCGAUACUGUUUGGCUUGAGACCGGAAGAGGUUAGUGGAACUGCGAGUGUAGAGGUGAAAUUCGUAGAUAUUCGCAAGAACACCAGUGGCGAAGGCGGCUCACUGGCCCGAUACUGACGCUGAGGCACGAAAGCGUGGGGAGCAAACAGG
rnacentral:rRNA from 1 species